rnacentral:misc_RNA from 1 species
GAUGAAGAACGUAGCGAAAUGCGAUACUUGGUGUGAAUUGCAGAAUCCCGUGAACCAUCGAGUCUUUGAACGCAAGUUGCGCCCGAAGCCAUUAGGCCGAGGGCACGCCUGCCUGGGCGUCACACGUCGUUGCCCCCCCAUCUACUCCUUCGGGAUUGCGGGGGGCGGAUGAUGGCCUCCCGUGCGCCUCGUCGCGCGGUUGGCCUAAAUGCCAAGUCCUCGGCGACGCACGCCACGACAAUCGGUGGUUGCGAAACCUCGGUUGCCUGUCGUGUGCGGUCGUCGCGCAACGAGGGCUCGAAAAAAUUGCCGGGCUUCGGCUCGACUUUCAACGCGACCCCAGGUCAGGCGGGGUUACCCGCUGAAUUUAAGCAUAUCAAUAAGCGGAGGA